rnacentral:rRNA from 1 species
UGCCAGCCGCCGCGGUAAUACGAAGGGUGCUAGCGUUGUUCGGAAUUACUGGGCGUAAAGAGCAUGUAGGCGGAUGAAUUAGUCAGAGGUGAAAGCCCCGAGCUCAACUUGGGAACUGCAUACGAUACUGGCUGACUAGAAUCUGUCAGAGGUUGGUGGAGUUUCCGGUGUAGCGGUGAAAUGCGUAGAUAUCGGAAGGAACACCGGUGGCGAAGGCGACUUCCUGGGCCAAUACUGACGCUGAGGCGCGAAAGCGUGGGUAGCAAACAGGAUUAGAUA